rnacentral:tRNA from 1 species
GGAGAGAUGGCCGAGUGGUCGAAGGUACUCCCCUGCUAAGGGAGCGUGGGGUUUAUAGCCUCACCGAGGGUUCGAAUCCCUCUCUCUCCGCCA